GAGCCUACGGGGGGCAGCAGUGGGGAAUAUUGCACAAUGGGGGGAACCCUGAUGCAGCGACGCCGCGUGGGUGAAGGAGCACCUCGGUGCAUAAAGCCCUAUCGGCAGGGAAGAAACAGACGGUACCUGACUAAGAAGCCCCGGCUAACUACGUGCCAGCAGCCGCGGUAAUACGUAGGGGGCAAGCGUUAUCCGGAUUUACUGGGUGUAAAGGGAGCGUAGACGGCAUAGCAAGUCUGAAGUGAAAGCCCGUGGCUCAACCGCGGAACUGCUUUGGAAACUGUUAAGC
rnacentral:rRNA from 1 species